rfam:Homo sapiens chromosome 11, GRCh38 reference primary assembly.
GCCGGGCGUGGUGGUGCAUGCCUGUAGUCCCAGCUACUUGGGAGGCUGAGGUGGGAGAAUCGCUUGAACCUGGGAGUCAGAGAUUGCAGUGAGCCGAGAUCACGCCACUGCACUCCAGCCUGGGCAACAGAGUGAGACUCCAUCUCAA